AGGGAUGUAGCUCAUGGGGAGAGCACAUGCUUUGCAUGCAUGAGGUCUCGGGUUCGAUCCCCAGCACGCCUU
rnacentral:tRNA from 1 species